GCGUAAAGCGCACGCAGGCGGUCUGUCAAGUCGGAUGUGAAAUCCCCGGGCUCAACCUGGGAACUGCAUUCGAAACUGGCAGGCUUGAGUCUUGUAGAGGGGGGUAGAAUUCCAGGUGUAGCGGUGAAAUGCGUAGAGAUCUGGAGGAAUACCGGUGGCGAAGGCGGCCCCCUGGACAAAGACUGACGCUCAGGUGCGAAAGCGUGGGGAGCAAACAGGAUUAGAUACCCUGGUAGUCCACGCCGUAAACGAUGUCUACUUGGAGGUUGUGCCCUUGAGGCGUGGCUUCCGGAGCUAACGCGUUAAGUAGACCGCCUGGGGAGUACGGCCGCAAGGUUAAAACUCAAAUGAAUUGACGGGGGCCCGCACAAGCGGUGGAGCAUGUGGUUUAAUUCGAUGCAACGCGAAGAACCUUACCUGGUCUUGACAUCCACGGAAGUUUUCAGAGAUGAGAAUGUGCCUUCGGGAACCGUGAGACAGGUGCUGCAUGGCUGUCGUCAGCUCGUGUUGUGAAAUGUUGGGUUAAGUCCCGCAACGAGCGCAACCCUUAUCCUUUGUUGCCAGCGGUCCGGCCGGGAACUCAAAGGAGACUGCCAGUGAUAAACUGGAGGAAGGUGGGGAUGACGUCAAGUCAUCAUGGCCCUUACGACCAGGGCUACACACGUGCUACAAUGGCGCAUACAAAGAGAAGCGACCUCGCGAGAGCAAGCGGACCUCAUAAAGUGCGUCGUAGUCCGGAUUGGAGUCUGCAACUCGACUCCAUGAAGUCGGAAUCGCUAGUAAUCGUGGAUCAGAAUGCCACGGUGAAUACGUUCCCGGGCCUUGUACACACCGCCCGUCACACCAUGGGAGUGGGUUGCAAAAGAAGUAGGUAGCUUAACCUUCGGGAGGGCGCUUACCACUUUGUGAUUCAUGACUGGGGUGAAGUCGUAACAAGGUAACCGUAGGGGAACCUGCGGUUGGA
rnacentral:rRNA from 1 species